rnacentral:rRNA from 1 species
GACGAACGCUGGCGGCGUGCUUAACACAUGCAAGUCGAACGGAAAGGCCCUGCUUUUGUGGGGUGCUCGAGUGGCGAACGGGUGAGUAACACGUGAGUAACCUGCCCUUGACUUUGGGAUAACUUCAGGAAACUGGGGCUAAUACCGGAUAGGAGCUCCUGCUGCAUGGUGGGGGUUGGAAAGUUUCGGCUGUUGGGGAUGGACUCGCGGCUUAUCAGCUUGUUGGUGAGGUAGUGGCUUACCAAGGCUUUGACGGGUAGCCGGCCUGAGAGGGUGACCGGCCACAUUGGGACUGAGAUACGGCCCAGACUCCUACGGGAGGCAGCAGUGGGGAAUAUUGCACAAUGGGCGGAAGCCUGAUGCAGCAACGCCGCGUGCGGGAUGACGGCCUUCGGGUUGUAAACCGCUUUCGCCUGUGACGAAGCGUGAGUGACGGUAAUGGGUAAAGAAGCACCGGCUAACUACGUG